CAAUUUUCGACCAUUCAUUUCUCAAAGUCUAUGAGGUAGACGUCCCUAUUUCUCUCGCCCACACAGACAAAAUCGUCUCGAACAGUAGUACAUCAUCGCACAACGUCCUUUCUGUGAACCAUGAGUAGUAUUUUCUACGAAUCUUAAUCUCCAAUUAAUGUAAAAUAAGGAGUCUCAGAGUAACUGCUAUUUGAUUCGGAGUUCACAGGUUCAAGCAGUGGCAACAGCCUCUUGUAGAAAUGCAGGGUUUAGGGAAGAAGAUCAGAAUAGGAUUCGACGGAUUCGGAAAAAUUAAUCGGUUUAUUAAGAGAGGAGCUGGCCAGAGGAAUGAUUCGAAGGUUCCUAGACGAAA